UACGUAGGGGGCAAGCGUUGUCCGGAAUCAUUGGGCGUAAAGAGCGUGUAGGCGGCCAGAUAAGUCCGCUGUGAAAUCUCGAGGCUCAACUUCGAGCUGUCGGUGGAAACUGUCUGGCUAGAGUCCGGAAGAGGAGAAUGGAAUUCCUGGUGUAGCGGUGAAAUGCGCAGAUAUCAGGAAGAACACCCGUGGCGAAGGCGAUUCUCUGGGACGGUACUGACGCUGAGACGCGAAAGCGUGGGGAGCGAACAGG
rnacentral:rRNA from 1 species